rnacentral:rRNA from 1 species
CACGUAGGGGGCGAGCGUUGUCCGGAUUUAUUGGGCGUAAAGAGCUCGUAGGCGGCUCAGUAAGUCAGGUGUGAAAACUCCAGGCUCAACCUGGAGACGCCACCUGAUACUGCUGUGGCUAGAGUCCGGUAGGGGAGCAUGGAAUUCCUGGUGUAGCGGUGAAAUGCGCAGAUAUCAGGAGGAACACCAGCGGCGAAGGCGGCGCUCUGGGCCGGAACUGACGCUGAGGAGCGAAAGCGUGGGUAGCAAACAGG